rnacentral:rRNA from 1 species
CCUACGGGAGGCAGCAGUGAGGAAUAUUGGUCAAUGGGCGCGAGCCUGAACCAGCCAAGUAGCGUGAAGGAUGACGGCCCUACGGGUUGUAAACUUCUUUUAUAAAGGAAUAAAGGGGGGCACGUGUGCCUUGUUGUGUGUACUUUAUGAAUAAGAAUCGGCUAACUCCGUGCCAGCAGCCGCGGUAAUACGGAGGAGCCAAGCGUUAUCCGGAUUUAUUGGGUUUAAAGGGUGCGUAGGCGGAUUGUUAAGUUAGAGGUGAAAUGUCCGGGCUUAACUCGGGAACUGCGUGUAAUACUGGUGGUCUAGAGUGUAGAUGGGGUAGGCGGAAUGUAUGGUGUAGCGGUGAAAUGCUUAGAGAUCAUGCAGAACUCCGAUUGCGAAGGCAGCUUACCGAUCUCUAACUGACGCUGAGGCACGAAAGCGUGGGGAGCAAACAGGAUUAGAUACCCGAGUAGUC